rnacentral:rRNA from 1 species
GGCGGACGGGUGAGUAACGCGUAGGAAUCUGCCUCAUAGUGGGGGACAACGUGGGGAAACUCACGCUAAUACCGCAUACGCCCUACGGGGGAAAGCGGGGGAUCUUCGGACCUCGCGCUAUGAGAUGAGCCUGCGUUAGAUUAGCUAGUUGGUGGGGUAAAGGCCUACCAAGGCGACGAUCUAUAGCUGGUCUGAGAGGACGAUCAGCCACACUGGGACUGAGACACGGCCCAGACUCCUACGGGAGGCAGCAGUGGGGAAUAUUGGACAAUGGGCGAAAGCCUGAUCCAGCAAUACCGCGUGUGUGAAGAAGGCCUUAGGGUUGUAAAGCACUUUCAAUUGGGAGGAAAACCUACCGGUCAAUACCCGGUAGCUUGACAUUACCUUUAGAAGAAGCACCGGCUAACUCCGUGCCAGCAGCCGCGGUAAUACGGAGGGUGCGAGCGUUAAUCGGAAUUACUGGGCGUAAAGCGUGCGUAGGCGGUUCGUUAAGUCAGAUGUGAAAGCCCUGGGCUCAACCUGGGAACGGCAUUUGAAACUGGCGGACUAGAGUUUAGUAGAGGGGAGUGGAAUUUCAGGUGUAGCGGUGAAAUGCGUAGAUAUCUGAAGGAACACCAGUGGCGAAGGCGACUCCCUGGACUAGAACUGACGCUGAGGUACGAAAGCGUGGGUAGCAAACAGGAUUAGAUACCCUGGUAGUCCACGCCGUAAACGAUGUCAACUAGCCGUUGGUCCUAUUUACAGGAUUAGUGGCGCAGCUAACGCAUUAAGUUGACCGCCUGGGGAGUACGGCCGCAAGGUUAAAACUCAAAUGAAUUGACGGGGGCCCGCACAAGCGGUGGAGCAUGUGGUUUAAUUCGAUGCAACGCGAAGAACCUUACCUAC